GAGUUGAGUUACUAAGGUGUUUUCCGGA
rnacentral:piRNA from 1 species